UCGAGCGACAGACAAGGAGCUUGCUCCUUUGACGUUAGCGGCGGACCGGUGAGUAACACGUGGGUAACCUACCUAUAAGACUGGGAUACCUUGGGGAAACCGGAGCUAAUACCGGAUAAUAUUUCGAACCGCAUGGUUCGAUAGUGAAAGAUGGUUUUGCU
rnacentral:rRNA from 1 species